rnacentral:rRNA from 1 species
GAGAGAGACAUGCGCGCAUAUCAAUAAGCGGAGGAAAAGAAACUAACAAGGAUUCCCUUAGUAACGGCGAGUGAAGCGGGAAGAGCUCAAAUUUGAAAUCUUCAAGGUUUUACCUUGACGAAUUGUAGUUUAAAGAAGUGUUUUCUGCUGAAGUUUUGGUAAAAGUUCUUUGGAAUAGGACAUCAUAGAGGGUGAGAAUCCCGUAUUUGACCAUUAUUUUCAGCUUUGUGAUACACUUUCAAAGAGUCGGAUUGUUUGGGAAUGCAGUCCAAAAUGGGUGGUAAAUUUCAUCUAAAGCUAAAUAUUAGCGAGAGACCGAUAGCGAACAAGUACCGUGAGGGAAAGAUGAAAAGAACUUUGAAAAGAGAGUUAAACAGUACGUGAAAUUGUACAAAAGGGAAGCGUUUGACACCAGUGUUGUUUUCUCGAAAAUCAAUUAAAAAUGGCUCGAUUUUGUAUUGUUGAGACCUUAAAAGCUCACUGUACAUUUUUCGUGUCUUUUUUAAUGCACUUUUCGUUUAACAAGUCAACAUCAGUUUCUUUUGUUGUAAAAGGGUCAUUGGAAGGUGGCUUUCUUUUCGGAGAAAGUGUUUAUAGCCUUUGGCCUCUGCAAUCGAAGAGACUGAGGUCUGCAGCGUAGACUCUUCGGGGUUAGAUACAUUUGUGCUAAGUUAUAGCUUUUUAUAGACAACUUGUUGACUAUAAUUAGUCUUGUAGCUUACUCGCUUAUGCUAUUUUACCUACGCUUAGGAUGUUGAAGAUGUAGCACAUCAU